UACAGAGGGUGCGAGCGUUGUCCGGAAUCACUGGGCGUAAAGCGUGCGCAGGCGGCGCGUUAAGACAGGUGUGAAAGCCCCGAGCUUAACUUGGGAAUUGCGCUUGUGACUGGCGUGCUGGAGUGUGGCAGAGGGAGGUGGAAUUCCACGUGUAGCAGUGAAAUGCGUAGAGAUGUGGAGGAACACCGAUGGCGAAGGCAGCCUCCUGGGCCAGCACUGACGCUCAUGCACGAAAGCGUGGGGAGCAAACAGG
rnacentral:rRNA from 1 species